CUAAGAUCAAAGUGUAGUAUCUGUUCUUUUCAGCUUAAUAUCUGAAAGUUCCCGCAUUGCGGGACCAGUAUAUUAAACUGAUUUUUGUAAAAUGACGAGAUGUUAGGGGCUCGCUCCACUCCCGUCACGGGUCGGCCCGGCAUUGCAGUGCC
rnacentral:snRNA from 1 species